GCUAUGCUUAACCUGACAUAUCACUGCAAAAAAGAAGAGGAAAAAAUACAACCUGCAAGUACAGGAUCGUUGCGGCGAGGCCCAGUAGUGCUGUUACACUUAUUUAAGGAGGCUAUUGGCUUUUCCAUCAUUUCCCCUCUUUUUUUUUUUUCCAGCUGCUGAUGAUUUGGCUGAGAUGUUAGCCUGGGGUGGCGCCCGAGUGGCUGGAGCAUCCCUAACCCAUGGGCUUGCUUUGCAGAGUAAGGAGUGCAGAGCUGGGAGGAGCUGGAGCACAGGCUUGGCAGCAGCACCCAGCCCGGCACAUUUGGACUCACGGUAGCACCCAAGGCACGUGGGGGAGGCAUGCAACACCUUGUUAUCAACCUGCCAGGGCUGGACAGGGCGUCUGCAGAGCCACAGGCUGCAAAGCAACCUCGUGUGGGAGUGUGCAGCACGUCCCUGACCAAAAUGCUGCUGUGGUGCUCAGCACAUCUGGCCAGCUGCCUGAUGCCUGGGUCUUUGCAGGAAUGGGAGAGAUUCUACUAACGUGGGUGCCAGUGGCGAGCAUCCCCCCAAACCCAACAGGAGGGGCUGAAAUGGCAGACUGAAGUCUUGAGCCUCAUUCUAAUAUCAUGCAUGCUGCAUUCAACCAACAUAAAUGCAAACAGAAAGACUGAAUUUAUGCCAGCAAGUCACAAUAAGCCGUGCAUUGGCAAAAUAUUUAAUCGUGCUGAAAUUGGAGGCCGCAUCCUCACACGUGGCUUUACUUUGGCAUUGCAAACUGCACAUCUUCUAAAG
rnacentral:lncRNA from 1 species